rnacentral:rRNA from 1 species
AUUAGAUAAAAAACCAACGCCCUUCGGGGCUUCUUGGUGAUUCAUGAUAACUUUACGGAUCGCAUGGCCUUGCGCCGGCGACGGUUCAUUCAAAUUUCUGCCCUAUCAACUUUCGAUGGUAAGGUAUUGGCUUACCAUGGUUUCAACGGGUAACGGGGAAUUAGGGUUCGAUUCCGGAGAGGGAGCCUGAGAAACGGCUACCACAUCCAAGGAAGGCAGCAGGCGCGCAAAUUACCCAAUCCCGACACGGGGAGGUAGUGACAAUAAAUACUGAUACAGGACUCUUUUGGGUCUUGUAAUUGGAAUGAGUACAAUUUAAACCUCUUAACGAGGAACAAUUGGAGGGCAAGUCUGGUGCCAGCAGCCGCGGUAAUUCCAGCUCCAAUAGCGUAUAUUAAAGUUGUUGCAGUUAAAAAGCUCGUAGUUGAAACUUGGGCCUGGCUGGCAGGUCCGCCUCACCGCGUGUACUUGUCCGGCCGGGUCUUCCUUCUGGAGAACCUCAUGCCCUUCACUGGG